GAUGAACGCUGGCGGCGUGCUUAACACAUGCAAGUCGAACGGAAAGGCCCAAGCUUGCUUGGGUACUCGAGUGGCGAACGGGUGAGUAACACGUGGGUGAUCUGCCCUGCACUUCGGGAUAAGCCUGGGAAACUGGGUCUAAUACCGGAUAGGACCACAUUUUGGAUGGUGUGGUGGAAAGUUUUUCGGUGUGGGAUGAGCUCGCGGCCUAUCAGCUUGUUGGUGGGGUAAUGGCCUACCAAGGCGUCGACGGGUAGCCGGCCUGAGGGGGUGUACGGCCACAUUGGGACUGAGAUACGGCCCAGACUCCUACGGGAGGCAGCAGUGGGGAAUAUUGCACAAUGGGCGCAAGCCUGAUGCAGCGACGCCGCGUGGGGGAUGACGGCCUUCGGGUUGUAAACUCCUUUCGCUAGGGACGAAGCGCAAGUGACGGUACCUGGAGAAGAAGCACCGGCUAACUACGUG
rnacentral:rRNA from 1 species